UACCGCACUCCUACGGGAGGCAGCAGUGGGGAAUAUUGCACAAUGGGCGCAAGCCUGAUGCAGCCAUGCCGCGUGUAUGAAGUAAGGCCUUCGGGUUGUAAAGUACUUUCAGCAGUGAGGAAGGUGGGUAUGUUAAUAGCAUAUUCAUUUGACGUUAGCUGCAGAAGAAGCACCGGCUAACUCCGUGCCAGCAGCCGCGGUAAUACGGAGGGUGCGAGCGUUAAUCGGAAUUACUGGGCGUAAAGCGCAUGCAGGUGGUUUGUUAAGUCAGAUGUGAAAGCCCGGGGCUCAACCUCCGGAAUUGCAUUUGAAACUGGCAAACUAGAGUACUGUAGAGGGGGUAGAAUUUCAGGUGUAGCGGUGAAAUGCGUAGAGAUCUGAAGGAAUACCGGUGGCGAAGGCGGCCCCCUGGACAGAUACUGACACUCAGAUGCGAAAGCGUGGGGAGCAAACAGGAUUAGAUACCCUGGUAG
rnacentral:rRNA from 1 species